rnacentral:rRNA from 1 species
UACAGAGGGUGCAAGCGUUGUUCGGAAUUAUUGGGCGUAAAGCGCGUGUAGGCGGUUUGUCACGUCGGGAGUGAAAACUCGGGGCUCAACCCCGAGCCUGCUUCCGAUACGGGCAGACUAGAGGUAUGCAGGGGAGAAUGGAAUUCCUGGUGUAGCGGUGAAAUGCGCAGAUAUCAGGAGGAACACCGGUGGCGAAGGCGGUUCUCUGGGCAUUACCUGACGCUGAGGAGCGAAAGUGUGGGGAGCGAACAGG